rnacentral:SRP_RNA from 1 species
GCAGUAUGUGGUGCAUGCCUGUAGUCCCAGCUACUCGGGAGGCUGAGGUGGGAAGAUUGCUCGAGUCCAGGAGUUCUGGGCUACAGUACACUAUACCAAUAGGAUGUCCACAUCACUAUGGUGACCUCCCAGGAGCGGGGGACCACCAGGUUGCCUAAAGAGGGGUGAACGGGCCUAGGUCAGAAACAGAGCAGGUCAAAACUCCUGUGCUGAUCACUCAAUAUGUAGCCCAGGUUGGCCACAAAUUUGUGGUGAUACUCCUGCCUU